rnacentral:rRNA from 1 species
AGAGCGAACGCUGGCGGCAGGCCUAACACAUGCAAGUCGAGCGCCCCGCAAGGGGAGCGGCAGACGGGAGAGUAACACGUGGGAACGUACCCUUUGGUUCGGAACAACACAGGGAAACUUGUGCUAAUACCGGAUAAGCCCUUACGGGGAAAGAUUUAUUGCCAAAGGAUCGGCCCGCGUCUGAUUAGCUUGUUGGUGAGGUAACGGCUCACCAAGGCUACGAUCAGUAGCUGGUCUGAGAGGAUGAUCAGCCUCACUGGGACUGAGACACGGCCCAGACUCCUACGGGAGGCAGCAGUGGGGAAUAUGGACAAUGGGCGCAAGCCUGAUCCAGCCAUGCCGCGUGGAUGAUGAAGGCCCUAGGGUUGUAAAGUCCGUUUCGACGGGAAGAUAAUGACGGUACCCGUAGAAGAAGCCCCGGCUAACUUCGUGCCAGCAGCCGC